CACCCACCCUCCGUGCCCACAACGGGAGAAAAGCCAAGACUGAUUGAUGCCGAAGGAGCUGGAGAAAGGCGGCUGGUGGGUGGGUAGGUGGGUGGUGGUCGAACAUCCAUCCCCGUGGCCGGCCGUUCCCCAUCUCCUUCCCAAAUCGAUGGUCAAACCUCCUCCGCCUCCUCCUCCUUCCUGAUCCCCGACCACCGUCCCCACCCAUGUCCCGCCGUCUCUCCCUCCUCCUCGUCUUCUCCAUCCUCUUCCCCGCCACGCUCCUCGCCCAACCCCCAACGCCGCCGCAGCAGUGCCCGCUGAACUUCACCGCCCUGCGCCCCUUCCUCGCCCCGCCGCUCCCCUCCGACGACGCCUCCCGCUGCGCCUUCGCGCUCCAGUCCGUCCGGCUCCUCCUCUCCCUCCACCUCGCCGCCACCGGGUCCUUCCUCAUCCCCUCCUCCUCCUCCUGCCUCCCGCCGCUCCGCGACGCGCUCCCCUUUCCGCUCCCUCCGCCCGAUGCCUGCGGCCUCGCGGGCAUCGACGCGCUCCUCUCCGCUCCUGGAUGCGCCAACAUCUCCACGCGAGCGGAUUUCGAUGCCCGAGUGCCUGCCUCCGCCCGCAGGGACAUCAACGCCAGCUGCUACCGCGAGCUCGGCGCCGUUCCGGUCUGCACCACCUGCACGACCUCGCUCAGCAAGACGGCCGCAGCCUACCUCCUACCUGGAUCCCCCGACGGCGGAAACAAUGUCACCGGCUGCGUCCAGUACCCCUUCAUAUACACCGGCGCCGCGGCCAGCCUACGCGGCCCCGACGACCCGGACACAGCGGACUGCCUGUACCUCCUUAAGGCCAACUCUCAACCCUCCAAAGGGUCCGGCGCCCCUGCCUGGCUCUACGGCGUCGUCUUCGGAUGUGUCGCCUUUGUACUGCUAGUUGCUGCCGCUGCUGGUUCGUGCUUCUUCGUGUGGCGACGCCGGAGGCGGGCUGCCGCUACCGCACUAGCCGCUGACAGCAGGAGCAAGCGCUCGCAUGCAAUGGAGUCCAUCACCGCCAGCACCACCCUGCUCAAGUUCACCUACGACGACAUCAAGAUGGCCACGGGGAGCUUCGCUAGAGACAGCAUCAUCGGCCGCGGUGGUUUCGGGAAUGUGUACAAGGGGGUGCUCCCCGAUGGCGCAGAGGUGGCAGUGAAGCGUUUCAAGAACUGCUCGGCGGCCGGGGAUGCGGCGUUCGCACAUGAGGUGGAGGUGGUGGCCAGCGUGCGCCAUGUCAACCUGGUCGCGCUCCGUGGGUACUGUAUCGCCGCCACGCAGAGAGAGGGGCACCAGCGGAUGAUUGUGUGCGACCUCAUGCAUAAUGGCAGCCUCCACGACCACCUCUUCGGCGCCGGGGAGUGCCUGAUGGCGUGGCCAGUGAGGCAGAGGAUUGCCAUUGGAAUGGCACGGGGGCUGUCCUACCUGCACCGUGGCACACAGCCAGCCAUCAUUCACAGGGAUAUCAAGGCAAGCAACAUUUUGCUUGAUGACGAUUUUGAGGCGAAGGUGGCCGAUUUUGGAUUGGCCAAGUUUGCGCCAGAAGGGAUGACACAUGUGAGCACACGGGUUGCUGGCACAAUGGGCUAUGUCGCUCCAGAGUAUGCCCUCUAUGGCCAGUUAACUGAGAAGAGUGAUGUCUACAGCUUCGGAGUUGUGCUUCUUGAGCUUAUGAGUGGGAAGAGAGCAUUCAUGUCUCUCAGUGAGGGAGAGAGCUUCGUGCUUGCUGAUUGGGCUUGGUCAUUGGUGCGGAGGGGAAAGACGCUGGAUGUGAUCCAGGAAGGAAUGGCUGAACCUGGUCCUACUAAGGUCAUGGAGAAGUAUGUGCUUGUCGCAGCACUCUGCACACAUCCGCAGCUGCAUGCCAGGCCAACGAUGGAGCAAGUGGUGAAGAUACUAGAAGCAGAUUCAGCACCAGGGCCUUUAAUCAUUCCGGACAGGCCUCUCCCUGUUGUUGCAAACCUGGCCGAUAUUGAGAGGUCAGUGAGCAGCAGCACCGGCUCAGGUCAGCUGUUCAGUCCCUCUGGCUUCCGGUCUUUUAUUCAUAGAGACGAGGAUGCUACACCGGAAUCUCCAAAGGAAACAUAACAUUUUGUUUCACAGUUGCAAUUUAAUGUCUAUCAUCUUUGUUUUGUUAGCUUGAUUUUAUUUCUUGGAUUACACAUUGCAGGCAGCUAUUGUAGAUGAUAACAUGUAUUUUUGCUCUCACAGGAAAUAUAUGAUUCCGCGUGACAGGUCAAUUCGUUUAAACAUACAUAAUGCUGUUUAUCUUUGCUACAUAUGCAGCUUAGUAAUUGAUGGAAGCUUUUUUUUUUUUGAGAUUUUGGAGAUGAUAUAUUGAAAGCUUAGUGAUCCUUUGUCCUGUGAUAUACUCCCUCGGUCCCAAAAUAAGUGUCUUACUUUGUAGUUUGUACUAACCACUUAUUUUGGGACGGAGGGAGUAUAUUACACUUGUUACUUGAAGAAGCUAUUUGUGCUCUGCGGUUCAAAGGUACCUUAUAGUUCCCUAUUAGGACGAUCAUUCAGUUGGAAGAACAAGGUGAUGUUCCACUGAUUCGAUUAGCUUAUAUGAUAUUGUAUUCUAAAGAGAAGUCUGUACUUCUCUGUAGCAUAAGAGAAAGAUGAUGGUAGAAUGGAGGAUUUGGCUAAAGAGAGAGUUGC
rnacentral:rRNA from 1 species